rnacentral:pre_miRNA from 1 species
AAUGAGAAAAUGACAAAUCGAUUUUUUUUUCUUGAUUUUUAGCCUUUUCCUUUUAAAAAAAUUCAAAUCAAACUAAAAAUACUAAAAAUUAGAAGGAAAAAUCUAAUUUUUCAUUCUCUCAUU